GAAAGUGUUAAGUUAAGUAGACUAUGGUACUUCAAAUACUAAAGAGGGCAGGUAGCUCACAUUUU
rnacentral:tRNA from 1 species